GUCAACCCUCAUCCCAAAAAUCAGAAUCUAAAAAUAAUUUUAAGUUAUGGAAAUAAAAUAAAUGAAAAAAAGUGUGUUAAAAUGGCCUAUUUGAAACAAAUAAUUGAAAUAAAAUACUAGCAUUAAAUAAAAACGAAAAUAAAAAUUAAAAUAAAUUAAAUAAGACAAUAAGGAAAGUAAAAAAUAUUUUUUGGCAUUUUUGUGAACAAAUAAAAUAUUUUUAAUAAUUAAAAGUAAAACAGAAAAAUAAAGUGGAAAUAAAAAGAAAUGAAAAGAAAUGAAAGAGUAUCAUGGCAAUGGGCUUUGUGUGUGGGUGUGAAUAGCAAGCGGGUAAAGGCCCGGUCCAGCGGAGCAUUCAGCAUGUGACCAAAAAUAACAAAAA
rnacentral:lncRNA from 1 species